CAGUAGCCACGGUAAUACGAGGGGGGCAAGCGUUGUUCGGAAUUAUUGGGCGUAAAGCGUGCGUAGGCGGUUUGUUAAGUCUGCUGUGAAAUCCCCGGGCUCAACCUGGGAAUGGCAGUGGAUACUGGCAAGCUAGAGUGUGUCAGAGGAUGGUGGAAUUCCCGGUGUAGCGGUGAAAUGCGUAGAGAUCUGGAGGAAUACCGAUGGCGAAGGCAGCCAUCUGGCCUAAUACUGACGCUGAGGUACGAAAGCAUGGGGAGCAAACAGGAUUAGAUACCCCAGUAGUCCCUGUCUCUUAUAC
rnacentral:rRNA from 1 species